rnacentral:lncRNA from 1 species
AGCAGUUUCACUGCUGUAGUGGAAGCAAAACCCCGGUAGGAGUAUAUUCAGCAGAGAGUUGGAGGAAAGGAACUGGAGACCCUGAAUCUAGAAAACACUUCCAAGGAGCUUUGCUGUAAGAAACAUUUCUUAGACCUGCUUCAUCGAUCCAUUCCACUUCUAUGGCCAGCCCUGCCAGUUUAGUAUGUCAUCACCUGGGGCCUGGAUUGCAGCAACAGUGUUCCAGCUCUUCUGGCCCUGGAUCUGUGCAACUUCUAGCAAAUUUAUCCUUGUGAAGAGGGCCGACCCUUCUCAGUUCCUCCAUCCUGCCGCCUAGACCAUUGUGUCAUUCCUGGAGCACCAGCAUUUGUCUUGCAACAUGAGAAUUAGAGCGACAUCCUAAAGAUGGUGGAAUAGAAUGUUAGAAGGGGUCUGGGUCUCUGACAACUUGAUAAAUACCAUUACAGCCCUGAACUACUUAUCUCUUUUAUAUAAGAAAUAAACUCUAUAUUGUGUAAGUCUGUUAUAUUGGCCUUUUCUGUUAUGUGCAGCCAAACAAAUCCUAAAUAAUGUAUUUCUGGAACUGAGAUUCUAUGCCAUGGCAGCUACCUGUUUACAUAACCCUAUCACUCUGUAAUGUAUUGUUUUUUUAUUACCUGCUUCCUCCCACUAGAAUGUAGGCUCCUUAAAGUCAGGGACUUUGCCAGUUUUGCUGUCUCCUCAGCCCCUAGAACCGAGUUCAUCAAGUAGUAGGGGCUCAAUAAAUACUUGCUA